UUCAACAGCGUAUCGUUGAGUCUAGCGGCAGACGGGUGAGUAAUACUUGGACAAUCUACCCUUAAGUGGGGGACAACCUGCCGAAAGGCGGGCUAAUACCCCAUAAGACCACAGGAGUGCAUACUCAAGGGGUCAAAGCUCCGCAAGGGGCGCUAAAGGAGGAGUCCGAGUCCUAUCAUGGUAGUUGGCGGGGUAAUGGCCCACCAAGCCGUUGACGGGUAGCCGGCCUGAAAGGGCAACCGGCCACACUGGCACUGAGACACGGGCCAGACUCCUACGGGAGGCAGCAGUGGGGAAUUUUGGACAAUGGGGGCAACCCUGAUCCAGCGACGCCGCGUGAAGGAUGAAGGUCUUCGGAUUGUAAACUUCUUUUAGAGGGGAUGAAUGCCCUGGUGAAUAGCCAGGGGUGACAGUACCCUUUGAAUAAGCCACGGCUAACUACGUGCCAGCAGCCGCGGUAAUACGUAGGUGGCAAGCGUUACUCGGAAUCACUAGGCGUAAAGCGCAGGUAGGAGGUUUAGUAAGUCUGUUGUGAAAGCUCCCGGCUUAACUGGGAGAGGUCAACGGAAACUGCUAGGCUAGAGUGCGGUAGAGGUAGCUGGAAUUCCCGGUGUAGCGGUGAAAUGCGUAGAUAUCGGGAGGAAUACCUAUGGCGAAAGCAGGCUACUGGACCGUCACUGACUCUGAUCUGCGAAAGCUAGGGGAGCAAACAGGAUUAGAUACCCUGGUAGUCCUAGCCCUAAACGAUGCUCAUUAGGUGUGGGAGGUAUCGACCCCUUCCGCGCCGUAGCUAACGCAUU
rnacentral:rRNA from 1 species